AACUGCUGAAAAUGUUAAACAAACCAGAGCUCUGGCAGGACCCUGCUAGACACUUAAUCCAAACAUAUCAUCUUACAACUCUGAUAAAAGGAUCUGCUGGAUUUUCUUUUGGCUGAGAUUAUACAUUUGUAUUCGUUGCAACUCAUGUUAAUUAUGGAUCUGCGUAACUGAUACAAACCUCAAUGACACCUUUAGUAAGUUUGGAGCAAUUGCACCUUACUUUGUGUUGCAAUGGCCUGGAAGCAUUGUAUUGCUGUGACUCAGCAGAAGGCAGAGGACCUUUUUGCUCAGUAGUUCCCUCCUUUUUGAAAGUCUUAAUUUCUUAUGGAAGGGCUCAUUAUCCCAGUGGAGAUAGUGUGCCCCAGCCAGCUGCAGGC